UCAGAGCAGACCAACUUUUAAAUAUGAAGAUACAUACCGGCAUUAUAUUGGUAUUAACGUUGUUAUGUGCAAACUCCGUGCGGUCUGACGUGGAUGUUGCAAGUACACUUGCUGAUCUCGCGGCUAGAAUAGUACAGCUUGAGGCAAUAACUGUACAGCUUGGGGCCAAAACUGUAAAACUGGAGGCCCGAAAUGAACAGCUCGAGACAAAAAUUGGCGAGCUUCAAAACUAACGAAAUGCAGACAACGAAAUACGGAAGGGUGCACGUAAACAUGAAUACAACCAGCUGAAAGAUUUAAAACUUGAAUUACGAAAGCAUGAACGGGUUCACUUUCAUAACGGGACAGAUGCUACGCAGCAAAUUCCAAUGAGUUUCAUAAAGUCACCGCACACAAGAGAGCCUGGGACUGUCCCUACUGCCUUUACUGCGUGUCUCACAACGCCCACUCUUGAAAACGUGGGAGACCAUCAAACCGUACAUUUCGAUAGUGAUCACCAACGUCGGUAACGCAUAGUCAGUACUCCGGAAUAUUUAGAGCGCCGGUGAAUGGAGUGUACGCGUUCCACGUAAGCCUUAUGACGGAAGCAAACAAUGUUGCAUACUUUGAACUCGUGAUAGACGGUAAAAUUGUUGACGACGUGUUCGUAGACGCCUCCCACACAGCCGAACUAAGGACAUCCGCGGAGUUUUGGCUUCUUCAUCUGAAUGCUGGCUCAGAAGUGUGGAUACAGACAUUGGCUGGAAACUGUAUCCACGGGCGAUGCCACACGAUGUUUUCCGGAUAUUCGUGUUCGAAACAUAACGCAACAUUGAUUGUUAUUUCUUGUUUGAAAGUUUACAAUUUAAACUGGGCUUUUGAAAACAAA